ACGUCCGUAGCCUAAUUGGCGAGAGCGCCGGAGAACCAAUAUGGAGGCCGCGGGUUCGAAUCACGCCGGUCAUC
rnacentral:tRNA from 1 species